rnacentral:rRNA from 1 species
GACGAACGCUGGCGGCGUGCUUAACACAUGCAAGUCGAACGGAAAGGCCCUGCUUUUGUGGGGUGCUCGAGUGGCGAACGGGUGAGUAACACGUGAGUAACCUGCCCUUGACUUUGGGAUAACUUCAGGAAACUGGGGCUAAUACCGGAUAGGAGCUCCUGCUGCAUGGGGGGGGUUGGAAAGUUUCGGCGGUUGGGGAUGGACUCGCGGCUUAUCAGCUUGUUGGUGGGGUAGUGGCUUACCAAGGCUUUGACGGGUAGCCGGCCUGAGAGGGUGACCGGCCACAUUGGGACCGAGAUACGGCCCAGACUCCUACGGGAGGCAGCAGUGGGGAAUAUUGCACAAUGGGCGGAAGCCUGAUGCAGCAACGCCGCGUGCGGGAUGACGGCCUUCGGGUUGUAAACCGCUUUCGCCUGUGACGAAGCGUGAGUGACGGUAAUGGGUAAAGAAGCACCGGCUAACUACGUG